UCAUGCCUGUAACAGAUUCGCUGUGUCUGGCAGAACCUCUCUUCGGUUCUUCCUCUGAAUGAAUGCCAUUGACACGCCUCCGCACUCCUCCCCAUCCCUGCGCUGCUGCCGCCACCGCCGCCUCCGCACUCCUCCCCGUCGCCGCACUGCCGCCUCCGCCUCCGCGCAGGUGAUCGUGACCGCCGCGCCGACGCCCACACCCAGCUCUUCUCCCCGGCAUUCGCUCUCCUCCGUGCUCUCUCCACGCGCCGCGUCCAGCGCUCCUCCCCCACCGUGUUGCCCGCAGACUCCGACGACGAGGGCUAAGCGUGGAUGUAACGUGGACGCAAAAACAUACAGAACUGAUUACCGCAUCUGCAGCUCUCUUCAUUCAUCGCCGUCCUUAUCCCUCAGACUGGAGUGGAAUGGACAUCCAUCCAGGCUUGGUUGCCUUCUUCUACUUGUUGAGGCGUUUCUUCAUCUAACUAAGCCCGGUAUAAAGGACUCAAAGCUUUUGUUCUUACUGGUGGCGUCUUCUUUGUGCCUGUCUGCUGCGGUUGCUGUGCAGGAAACUUGGCUAGCCGACCUCAAUAGCAAAUAUGAUGGAGGCUCUUCUGAUGAUUGGUAGGGGGAGUUCUUCCCCAGCAUCCCAAAAAUCAAGUAUGAGGGUCCAACCAGCAAGUACCCUCUUGCUUAUUAGUGGUAUAAUGCAGAGGAAGUGAUUCUUGGAAAGAAGAUGAAAGAUUGGAUGCGGUUCAGCGUCGCCUUCUGGCCCACAUUCUGUGGUACUGGCGCAGAUCCUUUUGGUGCCCCUACAAAUGCGUGGCCUUGGGAGGAUGGCACAAAUUCGUUGGCCAUGGCUACGAGAAGAAGUUUGACGAUUACCUAAUGUUGUGUUUGGUUACAACAUUCCAGGUUAUGUUUCAAUGCAUUUGUUGGAACCAACUUCUGUUUGAAUCGGUAUUGCAGUGAGAGCUCACUUUGAAUUCAUGGAGAUGCUGGGAGUUGACAAAUGGUGCUUCCAUGAUAGGGAUAUUGCCCCGGAUGGCAAAACCCUUGAGGCGCCGAAGAGGAACCACCCGCUGAUGUUGCUGUGCGGCAUGGCCACCAACGUUGUUGGGUUCGACCUGUCCACGGGGUGAGCUUUCAGCCAUGAAGUUCAGAAACUACCUUCCUCAUGAUGAACAAUUGUGAGGUGGUAAC